CUGAAUAUUGGCCGUUUAUCAGUGCCCAAGUACGCGAGUACGUACUCGCGUUCUCGGUGAGUACGUACCCGCCGAGAACGCACGGGAGUACGUACCCGCCGAGAACGCACGGGAGUACGUACCCGCCGAGAACGCACGGGAGUACGUACCUGCCGAGAACGCGAGCACGGACUCGUCGGCCGUUUCUCAAUUCUCAAGUACGCGAGCACGGACUCGUGAUUUGUACAGUCGGAACACCUGCGUGCGUGAUGAUGUCACAGGUCCGGAGUUUUUACUGCCGUCCCCUCCUAAUUUAACUGUGAUGUUUCCAGCUUCUUUAUCCCACCUGACGCCUGGACUGCUGUCUGUGGUCUUCAGCAUGAUCACAAUGUGUUAUUUAUGUAUUUUGACUGGUUUAAAAUGACAGGACAGUAAGCAUUAUCAGUGUAUAUUCCAAUAAAAGCAUCUAGUUUUUUA